CGGGAGGCAGCAGUAGGGAAUCUUUCACAAUGGGCGAAAGCCUGAUGGAGCAACGCCGCGUGCAGGAUGAAGGCCUUCGGGUUGUAAACUGCUUUUAUAAGCGAGAAAUAUGAUGGUAACUUAUGAAUAAGGAUCGGCUAACUACGUGCCAGCAGCCGCGGUAAU
rnacentral:rRNA from 1 species